AAAUAUAAAGUCCGUGCAAUAUCACAUGUGUUGAUAUGGAUUUACUAUUAAUAUUAAUAGAAGUUAAAUUAACCGGUCCCCGUGAGCUCAGGGACAUCGCAUUUUAUAUGCAGGGGUUGAGGUUCGAAUUCGAACCCCGGACACCCCACUUAGCCACUGGGUUACUUGACCAAAAAAGUUAAAUUAACCAUGAAACUUAAAUACAAAAAAAUAUAAAUUGGUCAAACCUUUGUGUUUCUAACAUCUAGUAACCUUUUUGUAUAACAGACGACAGCAGCAG
rnacentral:lncRNA from 1 species